rnacentral:rRNA from 1 species
GUGGGGAAUAUUGCGCAAUGGGGGAAACCCUGACGCAGCGACGCCGUGUGAGGGAAGAAGGCUUUCGGGUCGUAAACCUCUGUCAGAAAGGAAGAACCUCCCAAGUCCGAAUAGGGCUUGGGACUGACGGUACUUUCAAAGGAAGCACCGGCUAACUCCGUGCCAGCAGCCGCGGUAAUACGGAGGGCGCAAGCGUUAAUCGGAAUCACUGGGCGUAAAGCGCGCGUAGGCGGCUUUCUAAGUCGGACGUGAAAGCCCUCGGCUCAACCGGGGAAUUGCGUUCGAAACUGGAUGGCUUGAGUCCUGGAGAGGGUGGCGGAAUUCCGGGUGUAGGAGUGAAAUCCGUAGAUAUCCGGAGGAACACCGGUGGCGAAGGCGGCCACCUGGACAGGUACUGACGCUGAGGCGCGAAAGCGUGGGGAGCAAACAGGAUUAGAAACCCCAGUAGUCC